CAAUAGCAUAUAUUAACGUUGUUGCAGUUGAAAAGCUCGUAGUUGAACUUUUGGUAGGAGCGACCUGGCCUUGGGCGCAUGCCCUUGUUUUGCCGUGUGUCGUGUCUGGCCAUCCUUUUCCGCCGUUUGGUGGGAAUCCUUUACUGUGAGUAAACUGGAGUGCUCAAAACAAGACGUUUGUUUGGUACAUUAAAGCAUGGAAUAAUAAGAUAGGACCUGGUUACUAUUUUGUUGGUUUGCAUAGCUGGGUAAUGAUUAACAGGGACAGUUGGGGGUAUUCGUAUUUAAUUGUCAGAGGUGAAAUUCUUGGAUUUAUGAAAGACGAACGACUGCGAAAGCAUUUACCAAGGAUGUUUUCAUUAA
rnacentral:rRNA from 1 species